CCCGGAUUUGUGUUGCUCCAUGUCUGCUUCUCUUGGGCUCUUCUGCUGUUGACCACGCCUUACAUAUUGGUGGUCUAUGGCUCUAUCUUUUACUCCCCCUCACUCCUCUGAUGAGCUGGAAGGAACUGCCUAGUGCCGUCUUCUCCAAAGUGGAAAUGAAAAACAAUGGCAAAGUUACAUGAAUUUUGAAGCAUAAACAUAUUGCAAAAUUGAAAGAAAACAGAAUAUUCUAGAAUAAUGGCUUGGAAAUGAUCCUUGGUUCAGAGGGAAAGAAAGAAAGGAGUUGCAAUGCGUGAAGAAAUGCCAGCAGAGGCUGAUGCAUUGUCUUGGAGAGAUGGAGAGUGGAAUUUGUCAGGAUGUCUCUUGUACUAAUGCGGAAAAGUGCUGCAUGCAACACACGUGGAGAUUCAGUGACAAGAGAUUUAGACCAGUGUGUUCCUAACCAUCAGGUGGGAUGCCUACCACAGCAUGGCUUGCCAAGCGGUGCCAUGUCCACACCUGGGAUCCAAACCGUCGAACCCCGGGCCACCAAGUAGAACGUGCGAACUUAACUGCUGUGCCACCGGGCCGGCCCCCUUUUUUUUUUUAACAAGAAGAUAAACUAAUCUUUCAUAAAGACAGCGAUUUACCCAGCACAGUACCAUUAAACUUGAAGUCUGGCUAGAAAAUACUGUGGGAAGCUCACAUGAGCAACUGUAUAAACUUUCCAAGAUCUAAAAUCCAUAAGGAAAUCAAAGGUGAAACUCUGCAAAGAUAAAGGACUGAGCAUCUGAACAAGUGAGCAUCAACCAAGUUAUGCUGUGAUUACAAACAACCCUAAAAUCUCAGCAGCUUAAGACAAGAAAGGGUUAUUUUUUGCUCACACAAAAUGACCACUGAGGUUUGUCUGGGGGCUCCCUCAGGUACCCAGGCUAAAUCAGGACCCUAUCCAGCACUGUAGCAAAUGGAAAGAAAGGGAGUACAGGAAAUCACACACUGCCUUUUGAAGCUUCCACCUGAAAGAAACACAUAUAAUUUCUGCUCCAUGUUAUUGGCGAGAACAAAUCACAUGGCCGCAUCUGAUUCAAGGGGAGUGGGGAAUUACAUUCCUACCACGUGCCCUGAGGGAGAACAACAAAAAUCUGGUAUACAGCAUUAAGGCCUACCACAGGAAGAACUUAAGAAAAACAGCAGUGAAAGCAACCUAAGAAAGAAAGUUCUGGAACUAGGG
rnacentral:lncRNA from 1 species